UACGAAGGGGGCUAGCGUUGCUCGGAAUCACUGGGCGUAAAGCGCACGUAGGCGGACUCUUAAGUCGGUGGUGAAAUCCUGGAGCUCAACUCCAGAACUGCCUCCGAUACUGAGAGUCUUCGAGUCCGGGAGAGGUGAGUGGAACUGCGAGUGUAGAGGUGAAAUUCGUAGAUAUUCGCAAGGACACCAGUGGCGAAGGCGGCUCACUGGCCCGGUACUGACGCUGAGGUGCGAAAGCGUGGGGAGCAAACAGG
rnacentral:rRNA from 1 species